GUUAGUGCUGCGAUGACCUGUACGGAGAAGUGUGCAGGGUUUUGUGGGAAACCCUGAAAUACCAACAGAAAGGAAUGGAGGAACAAGGAAAUAUCCCCCAGCUGAGAUUAAAACAGGCACGCACUGCAGUGGCCCAUCAGCGCUGGGAACACAGAGGUCUUCCAACAGAAGUCUGUAACCUACAGACCCCGAAGCAAUUUCUAACGAGCCAAGGAACAACGGAGGGAGGCCUGGCAUCCGAGCUCAAGACGCUGCUUGUGGUGGUGGAGGCUUACUGAGUAGCAGCUGACACGCACAGGAUGAUCUUACGAGAUGUGAACAAGGAAAGACAA
rnacentral:lncRNA from 1 species